UCAUGGCUCAGAACGAACGUUGGCGGCAGGCUUAACACAUGCAAGUCGAGCGCUUCACUUCGGUGAGGAGCGGCAGACGGGUGAGUAACGCGUGGGAACAUACCUAAUAGUACGGAAUAACAGUUGGAAACGACUGCUAAUACCGUAUACGCCCUUUGGGGGAAAGAUUUAUCGCUAUUAGAUUGGCCCGCGUUGGAUUAGUUAGUUGGUGGGGUAAUGGCCUACCAAGACGACGAUCUAUAGCUGGUCUGAGAGGAUGAUCAGCCACACUGGGACUGAGACACGGCCCAGACUCCUACGGGAGGCAGCAGUGGGGAAUAUUGGACAAUGGGCGCAAGCCUGAUCCAGCCAUGCCGCGUGAGUGAUGAAGGCCUUAGGGUUGUAAAGCUCUUUCGCUAGGGAAGAUAAUGACGGUACCUAGUAAAGAAGCCCCGGCUAACUUCGUGCCAGCAGCCGCGGUAAUACGAAGGGGGCUAACGUUGUUCGGAUUUACUGGGCGUAAAGCGCACGUAGGCGGAUUAGCAAGUUAGGGGUGAAAUCCCGGAGCUCAACUCCGGAACUGCCUUUAAAACUGCUAGUCUAGAGAUCGGGAGAGGUGUAUGGAACUCCUAGUGUAGAGGUGGAAUUCGUAGAUAUUAGGAAGAACACCAGUGGCGAAGGCGAUACACUGGCCCGAUAC
rnacentral:rRNA from 1 species